CGCGGCAAGAAAAAUGGCUACCCGCCUCCAGUUCUCCUUCCGCCGCUUGCCUACUUCCCGGAUGCUAAGUCGUAUCGCGAGAUUUCGGCCUCGCUAUUAUCUGGGCCGCGGGGAUUGCACACCCUUUUCUUCUGCGCUGUUGGCAGACGCAAGCUGGUUUUCGGGAGUUGGAGGGCCGAGGUCGGGAGAUUGAAAACUUUAAAACAGAGCAACUGAUGAAUAAAUCAGGAAUAGACUCUCUUGACCAUGUAACAUCUGAUGCUAUGGAACUUGCAAAUCAAAGUGAUAACUCUUCUGAUAGCAGCUUAUUUAAAACUCAGUGUGUCCCUUACUCACCUAAACGGGGGCAAAGAAACCCCAUUAGAAAAUGUGUUCGUACACCUGGAAAUGUUCAAGCAAGUGAUUCAUCAAGUGACUCAUCUUUUGAACCAAUACCAUUGACCAUGAAAGCUAUUUUUGAAAGAUUCAAGAACAGGAAAAAGAGGUACAAAAAAAAGAAAAAGAGGUACCAGCCAACAGGAAGACCAAGGGGAAGACCAGAAGGAAGGAGAAAUCCUUUAUGCUCGCUGAUAGAUAAGAAGAAACAGUUUAGAAGUAGAGGACCUGGCUUCCCAUUUUUAGAAUCAGAGAAUGAAAAAAAGCCACCUUGGAAAAAAAUUUUAACGUUUGAGCAAGCUGUUGCAAGAGGAUUUUUUAACUACAUUGAAAAACUGAAAUAUGAACACCAUCUGAAAGAAUCCUUGAAACAAAUGAAUGUUGGUGAAGAUUUAGAAAAUGAAGAUUUUGAUAGUCGUAGAUACAAAUAUUUGGAUGAUGAGGGAUCCAUUUCUCCUAUUGAGGAGUCAACAGCAGAAGAUGAGGAUGCAACACACCUUGAAGAUGACGAAUGUGAUAUCAAAUUGGCAGGGGAUAGUUUCAUAGUAAGUUCUGAAUUCCCUGUAAGACUGAGUGUAUACUUAGAAGAAGAGGAUACUACUGAAGAAGCUGCUUUGUCUAAAAAGAGAGCUACAAAAGCCAAAAAUACUGGACAGAGAGGCCUGAAAAUGUGACAGAAUCAUGAAUGUCAAAGGCUUUUAUCUUGAGAACAUCAUGUCUGGAGUUAAAGGUAUUGGCAUAUUUCCACACCUGUACUAUUCUUGAGUGUAAAUGCUUAGGUAAGUUUUAAUUGGUGACAGUAUCAUCUUGGGAAAUAUGAUUACAGUUCAGAUGAUGAAUUUAACUGUUCAACUGCUGAAUGAUAUGGGCAUGAACUAAAACUUAAUUCUGAUAGAGCUGGAUAUGGUUACAUUAUAAACUAGAUCUUAAAUUUUUAUUUGGAUUUUAGUUUCAGUAACUAGAAAUGUGGUAUCCUUUCUAAAUCUUUAAUUGGUACUUUCUAUAGGAAUGAAUAUGAUUUGAACUCAUUCAUGUUGAAAGGGUGUCAAAUUGGAACCAGGCAGAUCCACCACCUACAAUAAAAAGUUCAACUUCUAGGACCCUAAAGUAAAUUGGUUGAAGAAAGUAGAUCCCAAAGAUUCCUGGGCUGACAGGACAACUGGAUUAAAGCAAGCAUCAGCUUCAUUAAAAAGGGCUAAGAGGAUCUAAAGUGACUCUGAUGGACAGUGGAAGAGAUCACAACAUGGAAUUCCUUGAAUAAAAAUUUAUUGACUUUAAAUAUACACAAUUAAAAAAAAAACUCUUUACACUGUUUCUAAAAGUCAGCAUGUAUUUUUGGCUCGAAGUUUCUCUAAUGUUUUCUGUGGAAGGAAUAAAAAUUUUGCAGUUACAGUUGCGUA